CCUCGCUGUAAUAUGAAGUGGGGUGUCACCGUUUGAAUUUUUUUUGUACACAAGUGAUGGUAUCAAAUUCGUGAUCAUUGCCGCUAUCUCCUUCCGUUUGAAUUUUGCUGCAACAUGGAGAAUGGUGUCUUGUUGCAGGGAUGUAACCUGGAGCAGGAUAUUUGCAUCAGAGGAGGUGAGUCUCCUGAAGAAAUCCCGAUCAUC
rnacentral:misc_RNA from 1 species